UAGGGAAUCUUCCGCAAUGGACGCAAGUCUGACGGAGCAACGCCGCGUGAGUGAAGAAGGAUUUCGGUUCGUAAAACUCUGUUGUUAGAGAAGAACAGCGCAUAGAGUAACUGUUAUGCGUGUGACGGUAUCUAACCAGAAAGCCACGGCUAACUACGUGCCAGCAGCCGCGGUAAUACGUAGGUGGCAAGCGUUGUCCGGAUUUAUUGGGCGUAAAGCGAGCGCAGGCGGUCAAUUAAGUCUGAUGUGAAAGCCCCCGGCUCAACCGGGGAGGGUCCUUGGAAACUGGUUGACUUGAGUGCAGAAGAGGAGAGUGGAAUUCCAUGUGUAGCGGUGAAAUGCGUAGAUAUAUGGAGUACCACCAGUGGCGAAGGCGACUCUCUGGUCUGUAACUGACGCUGAGGUUCGAAAGCGUGGGUAGCAAACAGG
rnacentral:rRNA from 1 species